rnacentral:rRNA from 1 species
CAACCGGGAUUGCCUUAGUAACGGCGAGUGAAGCGGCAAAAGCUCAAAUUUGAAAUCUGGUACCUUCGGUGCCCGAGUUGUAAUUUGGAGAGGGCAACUUUGGGGCCGUUCCUUGUCUAUGUUCCUUGGAACAGGACGUCAUAGAGGGUGAGAAUCCCGUGUGGCGAGGAGUGCGGUUCUUUGUAAAGUGCCUUCGAAGAGUCGAGUUGUUUGGGAAUGCAGCUCUAAGUGGGUGGUAAAUUCCAUCUAAAGCUAAAUAUUGGCGAGAGACCGAUAGCGAACAAGUACAGUGAUGGAAAGAUGAAAAGAACUUUGAAAAGAGAGUGAAAAAGUACGUGAAAUUGUUGAAAGGGAAGGGCAUUUGAUCAGACAUGGUGUUUUGUGCCCUCUGCUCCUUGUGGGUAGGGGAAUCUCGCAUUUCACUGGGCCAGCAUCAGUUUUGGUGGCAGGAUAAAUCCAUAGGAAUGUAGCUUGCCUCGGUAAGUAUUAUAGCCUGUGGGAAUACUGCCAGCUGGGACUGAGGACUGCGACGUAAGUCAAGGAUGCUGGCAUAAUGGUUAUAUGCCGCCCGUCUUGAAACACGGACCUCCUGUGUGAAGUGAUC